ACCUGCGGAGGAUCAUUAUCGAAUAAACUUGAACAGGCUGUUGCUGGCCCAUUGGGUAUGUGCACGCUUGUCAUCUUUAUCAUUUCUCCAACCUGUGCACAUAAUGUAGACCUGCGUUUUUUGAAUUCUAUUCGAGUUGGGGAUUGCUGCGCUUUUGUAUAAAAGUCGGCUUUCCCUUGUAUUUUUCAGGUCUAUGUCGUUUAUCUUUCACAACCAUGUUUAGAAUGUUGAAUCAGGUCCUUGUACCUAUAUAAUAAAAGUUAAUACAACUUUCAUCAACGGAUCUCUUGGCUCUCGCAUCGAUGAAGAACGCAGCGAAAUGCGAUAAGUAAUGUGAAUUGCAGAAUUCAGUGAAUCAUCGAAUCUUUGAACGCAUCUUGCGCUCCUUGGUAUUCCGAGGAGCAUGCCUGUUUGAGUGUCAUUUGACUUAUCAACCACAUCAUCUUUUUUGAAAAUGUGGCUUGGAUGUGGGGGGGAUGUAUAUUCCUUUGCAGGCUUCAACGAAAGCCGGCUCCCCUGAAAUGCAUUAGUGGUAUCUGAGCUGCUAUUGGUGUGAUAAAUUAUCUAUGCCUUUGGUUAUGCUGGUCAGCGCUGCUUAUAACGACCCAAUCAUUUGACAAAUUUGACCUCAAAUCAGGUAG
rnacentral:rRNA from 1 species